UUGUGAUGAAGGCACGGGCGGAAGCUUGAAUGAGCAAUGCCCGCGGUGAGUGAUGAAGGAUCUCCGGUUCUGAAAACUCUGUUGUAAGGGAAACAAGGAUCCCCUAACUGGCUGUCCCUUGACGGUACCUUAUUAAAAAGCCCCGGCUAACUACGUGCCAGCAGCCGCGGUAAUACGUAGGGGGCAAGCGUUGUCCGGAAUUAUUGGGCGUAAAGCGCGCGCAGGCGGUUUCUUAAGACUGAUGUGAAAUCCCACGGCUCAACCGUGGAGGUGCAUUGUUAACUGGGAGACUUGAGUGCAGAAGAGGAUAGUGGAAUUCCAAGUGUAGCGGUGAAAUGCGUAGAUAUUUGGAGGAACACCAAUGGCGAAGGCGACUAUCUGGUCUGUUACUGACACUGAGGCGCGAAAGCGUGGGGAGCAAACAGGAUUAGAUACCCCGGUAGUCA
rnacentral:rRNA from 1 species